rnacentral:rRNA from 1 species
GACGAACGCUGGCGGCGUGCUUAACACAUGCAAGUCGAACGGACAGGCCCUGCUUUUGUGGGGUGCUCGAGUGGCGAACGGGUGAGUAACACGCGAGUAACCUGCCCUUGACUUUGGGAUAACUUCAGGAAACUGGGGCUAAUACCGGAUAGGAGCUCCUGCUGCAUGGUGGGGGUUGGAAAGUUUCGGCGGUUGGGGAUGGACUCGCGGCUUAUCAGCUUGUUGGUGGGGUAGUGGCUUACCAAGGCUUUGACGGGUAGCCGGCCUGAGAGGGUGACCGGCCACAUGGGGACUGAGAUACGGCGCAGACGCCUACGGGAGGCAGCAGGGGGGAAUAUUGCACAAUGGGCGGAAGCCUGAGGCAGCAACGCCGCGUGCGGGAUGACGGCCUUCGGGUGGUAAACCGCUUUCGCCGGUGACGAAGCGUUAGUGACGGUAAUGGGUAAAGAAGCACCGGCUAACUACGUG